rnacentral:rRNA from 1 species
GACGAACGCUGGCGGCGUGCCUAAUACAUGCAAGUCGAACGAACUCUGGUAUUGAUUGGUGCUUGCAUCAUGAUUUACAUUUGAGUGAGUGGCGAACUGGUGAGUAACACGUGGGAAACCUGCCCAGAAGCGGGGGAUAACACCUGGAAACAGAUGCUAAUACCGCAUAACAACUUGGACCGCAUGGUCCGAGCUUGAAAGAUGGCUUCGGCUAUCACUUUUGGAUGGUCCCGCGGCGUAUUAGCUAGAUGGUGGGGUAACGGCUCACCAUGGCAAUGAUACGUAGCCGACCUGAGAGGGUAAUCGGCCACAUUGGGACUGAGACACGGCCCAAACUCCUACGGGAGGCAGCAGUAGGGAAUCUUCCACAAUGGACGAAAGUCUGAUGGAGCAACGCCGCGCGAGUGAAGAAGGGUUUCGGCUCGUAAAACUCUGUUGUUAAAGAAGAACAUAUCUGAGAGUAACUGUUCAGGUAUUGACGGUAUUUAACCAGAAAGCCACGGCUAACUACGUGCCAGCAGCCGCGGUAAUACGUAGGUGGCAAGCGUUGUCCGGAUUUAUUGGGCGUAAAGCGUGCGCAGGCGGUUUUUUAAGUCUGAUGUGAAAGCCUUCGGCUCAACCGAAGAAGUGCAUCGGAAACUGGGAAACUUGAGUGCAGAAGAGGACAGUGGAACUCCAUGUGUAGCGGUGAAAUGCGUAGAUAUAUGGAAGAACACCAGUGGCGAAGGCGGCUGUCUGGUCUGUAACUGACGCUGAGGCUCGAAAGUAUGGGUAGCAAACAGGAUUAGAUACCCUGGUAGUCCAUACCGUAAACGAUGAAUGCUAAGUGUUGGAGGGUUUCCGCCCUUCAGUGCUGCAGCUAACGCAUUAAGCAUUCCGCCUGGGGAGUACGGCCGCAAGGCUGAAACUCAAAGGAAUUGACGGGGGCCCGCACAAGCGGUGGAGCAUGUGGUUUAAUUCGAAGCUACGCGAAGAACCUUACCAGGUCUUGACAUACUAUGCAAAUCUAAGAGAUUAGACGUUCCCUUCGGGGACAUGGAUACAGGUGGUGCAUGGUUGUCGUCAGCUCGUGUCGUGAGAUGUUGGGUUAAGUCCCGCAACGAGCGCAACCCUUAUUAUCAGUUGCCAGCAUUAAGUUGGGCACUCUGGUGAGACUGCCGGUGACAAACCGGAGGAAGGUGGGGAUGACGUCAAAUCAUCAUGCCCCUUAUGACCUGGGCUACACACGUGCUACAAUGGAUGGUACAACGAGUUGCGAACUCGCGAGAGUAAGCUAAUCUCUUAAAGCCAUUCUCAGUUCGGAUUGUAGGCUGCAACUCGCCUACGUGAAGUCGGAAUCGCUAGUAAUCGCGGAUCAGCAUGCCGCGGUGAAUACGUUCCCGGGCCUUGUACACACCGCCCGUCACACCAUGAGAGUUUGUAACACCCAAAGUCGGUGGGGUAACCUUUUAGGAACCAGCCGCCUAAGGUGGGACAGAUGAUUAGGGUG